GGAGCCCAAGGGGGAAGCCCUGUGAUUGGAGGGGCCGCGGUGGUUCUCUGCCUCCUGCCGGGGGCCUGGAGCUUGUCCAGUGUUUCAGAGCUAAACCAGCACCAAUGAACUCAUGUUGGCCCUCCUAAAAUAACGCCUAGGCCCUUUGUACAGAAGGGGGAAACUGAGGCAUCAGAAGGGUUGGGUGAGUGCCUGCUCACAGAUUGGUAGCUAGGAAGAGGGUCAGUACAGUAAGAUGCCUGUUAGACCAGCGUUCUUCACACCGUGAAAUGCAACACACUCAUGAAUCCCAAAAUCAAUGUAGUGGGUCUCAACCAUCAAUUUAUUAAAUGAAAUGCAAUAGAAUAGAAUAGAAAAUAUCAAUGUAUAUAAAUAGUAGAAGUAAGUGUUUUGUGAAACUGUUUACAAAUUGCAGAUAAUAUGUACAACAAAUAAUGAUAUACAAUGUAUUUCUUUCUGCAGGUCAGGAUCAAAACAGUUUGGAAGCCACUGUGUUAAGACCCUGGUUAGUGUGUGAGAUCCAUAAUGGCAGGGACUGUUCCCUCCUUACCUGUAGCACCCACCAGAACUUCCCACACAGGUGACGGGGGAAGGAGGCUGGAGAGGCAGCCGAAAGAAGGGGCUGAGUGUACAGGAGCACAUUGGCCGAGAUGACUCAGCAUCAUCUCUGACUAGUUCGUUACUAUGGUGAGUCAUCCAAACGCUCCACACCUGUUUCCUCACCUGUAAUAUGAAGAUAAUAGCCCCACCCUCAGGGAUGUUACGCAGGACUAAAUAAGACAAUACAUGUCAAGCACAUAGCAUGGUGCCUGCCACAGGGUAAGUGCUCAGUAAGUGUUAGCAAUUAUUAGGGAUGCUCUAUAAAUCAUUCCUAGAUAAAUAAAUUAUGAAUAACAAGCUUGGGUUAAUCCCAUGAUGCCAGGCCACUGACCAGAGCCAGUCCUGUCACUUUAAGUUUCCUCCUCACCCUGGACAAAGGGCAAAUUUAGUACUCUUCCCAAAACCCUGGUGUGUAUCCCACUGUCCUCUGGUGCUCUGUGUGUGUUCAUACCUAGGUACUCAGUGGGGGACACAAUGUACUGGAAAGAACACUGGAAAUCAGGAAACAGGUUCAAUUCCAGGUCAGCCACCAAUUAGCCAUGUGACCUCUGAGAGUCAUUUCACUCCUUUGAGCCUCAGUUUCCUCACCUGUCCAAUAAAGGGGUUAGAUGACAUGGUGCUUUCAGUCCCUUCCUGCUCUGACAUUUGGCAAAUUUAUCCAGUGUUGUGUGGGCACAAGCCCAUGAGGCUCCGUGCCAGGCUGCAGGGACUGUCUGGAAAGCUGGAAAACCCCUCCCUGGAUGUAUUUCAUAAUAUCUAGGCUUUCAAGCCCUCAGGGCCCCACAUCCCUGCCCACUCCCUCUCACAACCACUUCCAGAAGUCAGCUGAAAAACCCAUACCAAUAUCCCGGAACAACUAGUGCCAACAUUUAUUGAGCUCUGACAGCAUGUCCGCAUUGUGACAAAACACUUUACAUGGAUCAUUGUAAUCCUCCUGACACGGCUCUAUAACAUUGGAACUACUACUGCUUUGUCAGUGAGGAACCUGAAGCUUGGAGGCCUCACAAAUAAGGAACCCAGUCUUAAAGCCUGAAUGAACUGUGACAAACAGCAUGAGGACCACUUGGCCCAGGCGGAAAGUAGAAAGCUUCUAGAAGCCAGCAGCCUCCUUCUUUGUCUCUCAGCUUCACAGCUGCCCACAAAGCCCCAAGGAGAAAGCCUUCCAAAAAAGGCAGUGACUUGGACAGAACAAGCCGCGGGACAGUGCGGAGAAGCUUAUCUUUUCCAGGACUGAGCCACGUGCUGAUGGAGAGAGGCAGGGGGUACUGUGAGACUGAUGAGAACAGCGAGCUGUCGUGCAUAUUGAAGCUGCAUCAGCAAAAGGAGAGGAAGUUUUAGAUGGGGCUUUCCUGACCCCCAUUUUCUAACAUGACAAUGCUUAUUUAGAAGAAGGUUUGAAGUGCUAAGCCUUGAUGACAGUCUUUAUGGUUUGUUAUGAAUUUCCUUAGAAAUAUAAACACUUAGGAAACAACUGUCUCCCUCCCUCCUUUUGUGGUCACUGACAUCAGAGGUCAAGAACAUAACAGGCCUGCUGCUCAGCCCUGAUCUCCUUGAGAACCUCAUGACCCGGCAGGUUACCACGGCAAUGCCCUCACACACUUGGGCAACAUGCCCUAUGCUAAUAGCCCAGGCUGAGAAGGUAGAAGGAAUAUCUCCAGGUUACUCAGAGAAAACUGGAAGCAGGGAGGAGGAAUAUUAAAGUUUCAGUUUCCGGUGAAACCGGAUGUUACACAGAAAGGGCAAAAAUAACCAAGACCCAGGGGAACAUUCUGAGCACAGAGGUGGGAGGUUCCAGCCCACGUGCUGUGUGAGCUGAAUUCUCUCCCUCUCCUGGGAGAGUGACACAUACUAUUAGUCCCAUCCUCCAUUAAUCCCAUUUUGGAAGUUGGGAAAGUACAGCAAGAAUAACUGUCAUUAUCUUACCUAACUCACACAGUUGGUCAGGGGAUAAAAUAAGACCAUGAACAUGAAAUGCUUUCAAAAUACAAAAAUCUCAAUAUAAGUCAAAUAUAUUCAAAUCUUUCUGAUAUGAUAUAAAUAAAUAAAUGCAAAUAGAAAGUAACUCUCUCCUUCUAUUACUGUUAUAACUACUACUAUUAUUUUAUACUCUUUCCUUAAAGGACAAGGGACAAUAUGCCCUGGUAUUUCAUUUUCCCAGAGAGCUAACAAAUGCCUCCAAUCCAAAUAAAUUAACAUUGUUCUUUUGAUUGGCAUCUGGUGAGAACAAGAAUUCACUUGGACAUACAGAGACAGAAGUAUGGAGGGGACAGAAAGGAGAGGAAAAGGAACAGAAAGAAGAGGAAAAGGAAAGCAUUUUAAUUUGUGGUUCUUAGUAUUCAUAUCCAUUGUUUACAGGGGGUGGAACACUUAAUAUUAUACUUUUUUUACAAUAAAUUGGAGCAAAACACU